rnacentral:rRNA from 1 species
UUUUUGGGGGAGGAAGGUAUAGGCAAUAGCUGAUUGCACCAACAAACAGUUGAUGCAAAAUUGAUUAUAUCAAAUAAAAUUCUAGGUAGAUUUUUGAUAAUGACAUUGCUUACCUAAGUCUUGACCAAAUUACGUGCCAGCAGUCGCGGUAAUACGUAAAAGACUAGUGUUAUUCAUCUUUAAUUGGUUUAAAGGGUACCUAGACAGCGAAUAAAGCCAUAGUAGGGACUAAUUCGCUAGAGUUACUUAUGAGGGGGUAUUAAAGUACUGCAGGUGUAGAGAUGAAAUUUUGUUAUACCUCUUCUCGUAUGAGAAACUAUGGCACAGGUAUAGGUGAAAGCAUCCCCUUAUGUGAUAACUGACGUUGAGGGACGAAGGCUUUGUGUCGCGAACAGGAUUAGAUACCCCAAUAGUCAAAGCAGAAAAUGAUGAAUGUCAUAGAUUAGAUAUGCAAUUUAUUCUAUAAAUGAAAGUGUAAGCAUUCCACCUCAAGAGUAAUUUGGCAACAUUGGAACUGAAAUCAUUAGACCGUUUCUGAAACCAGUAGUGAAGUAUGUUGUUUAAUUUGAUGAUACGCAAAAAACCUUACCACAAUUUGAAUAUUUAUAUAUAUCUUUUAUUGAUUUAUACUAACAUAUUUGUAGACAAUUAAAAUGAUGCCUAUGUCCCGUUUGUGAGAUUAAGCAUCAAAAAAGAUAAUAUAUUUACAAGCGUUGCACGGCUGUCUUCAGUUAAUGUCGCGAGAUUUUGGUUAGUUCCAUUAAAUUAACGUAAACCCUUACUUUAUUUAUAUAUAAAAGUAGUUCUCCGCUAUAUUGGAUAUGAUAACAGGGACUAAGACAAGUCAUCAUGGCCCUAAAUAUUUGUGGGCUAUAGACGUUGCCACAUA